CAGCCUUGACAUCCCGGUCGCGGACUCCAGAGACGGAGUUCUUCAGUUCGGCUGGACCGAAGACAGGUGCUGCAUGGCUGUCGUCAGCUCGUGUCGUGAGAUGUUGGGUUAAGUCCCGCAACGAGCGCAACCCCCGUCCUUAGUUGCUACCAUUCAGUUGAGCACUCUAAGAGACUGCCGGUGAUAAGCCGCGAGAAGGUGGGGAUGACGUCAAGUCCUCAUGGCCCUUACGGGCUGGGCUACACACGUGCUACAAUGCGGUGACAAUGGGAUGCAAAGGCGCAAGCCCCAGCAAAUCUCAAAAAGCCGUCUCAGUUCGGAUUGGGCUCUGCAACUCGAGCCCAUGAAGUUGGAAUCGCUAGUAAUCGUGGAUCAGCACGCCACGGUGAAUACGUUCCCGGGCCUUGUACACACCGCCCGUCACACCAUGGGAGUUGGUUUUACCUGAAGACGGUGCGCUAACCGCAAGGAGGCAGCCGGCCACGGUAGGGUCAGCGACUGGGGUG
rnacentral:rRNA from 1 species